rnacentral:tRNA from 1 species
GCCCGGUUAGCUCAAUCGGUAGAGCGUGAGACUCUUAAUCUCAAGGUUGCGGGUUAGUACAUACCAUCAUUGCUUUCGCACCGUCACAAACUCGAGCACCAGUCCUAACAUCCUCCUCCAGGUUCGACCCCCGCAUCGGGCU